rnacentral:rRNA from 1 species
UCACACCAUGGGAGUGGGCUGCAAAAGAAGUGGGUAGUUUAACCUUUCGGGGAGGACGCUCACCACUUUGUGGUUCAUGACUGGGGUGAAGUCGUAACAAGGUAGCCCUAGGGGAACCUGGGGCUGGAUCACCUCCUUAUACGAAGAUA